NNNNNNNNNNNNNNUUUGUUGUUGUUUGUUUCUCCUGUCUUCUUGUUGUUGUUGUUUGUUUCCCCUGUCUUUUUGUUGUUGUUUGUUUCUCCUGUCUUUUUGUUGUUGUUUGUUUCUCCUGUCUUUUUGUUGUUGUUUGUUUCUCCUGUCUUGUUGCUGUUUGUUUCCCCUGUCUUUUUUGUUGUUGUUUGUUUCUCCUGUCUUUUUGUUGUUGUUUGUUUCUCCUGUCUUGUUGUUGUUGUUUGUUUCUCCUGUCUUUUUGUUGUUUGUUUCUCCUGUCUUUUUGUUGUUGUUUGAUUCUCCUGUCUUUUUGUUGUUGUUUGAUUCUCCUGUCUUGUUGUUGUUUGUUUCUCCUGUCUUUUUGCUGUUGUUUGUUUCUCCUGUUCAGAGUGUGUUGGCUGCUGCAUGUGAGCUUGCAGGGAUUUGAUAUCAUACCCCUUAAAGGGAUNNNNNNNNNNUUUGUUGUUGUUUGUUUCUCCUGUCUUCUUGUUGUUGUUGUUUGUUUCCCCUGUCUUUUUGUUGUUGUUUGUUUCUCCUGUCUUUUUGUUGUUGUUUGUUUCUCCUGUCUUUUUGUUGUUGUUUGUUUCUCCUGUCUUGUUGCUGUUUGUUUCCCCUGUCUUUUUUGUUGUUGUUUGUUUCUCCUGUCUUUUUGUUGUUGUUUGUUUCUCCUGUCUUGUUGUUGUUGUUUGUUUCUCCUGUCUUUUUGUUGUUUGUUUCUCCUGUCUUUUUGUUGUUGUUUGAUUCUCCUGUCUUUUUGUUGUUGUUUGAUUCUCCUGUCUUGUUGUUGUUUGUUUCUCCUGUCUUUUUGCUGUUGUUUGUUUCUCCUGUUCAGAGUGUGUUGGCUGCUGCAUGUGAGCUUGCAGGGAUUUGAUAUCAUACCCCUUAAAGGGAUACUUCAGUAUUUUGGCACUGAGGCCCUUUUUCUACUUCCCAGAGUCAGAUGAACUUGUGAGUACCAUACAAAUGGUAUACACGAGUUCAUCUGACUCCUGGGAAGUAGAUAAAGGGCCCCAUUGACAAAAUCCCAAAGUAUCCCUUUAAAAGGCCAACUCUUGAUGUGCCUCCAAAACCCCCUCUCACUCCCUCACUCCACUCCCCUUUCCUCUCUCUCUCGCCUCCUCUUACCCCCUCCCCCUCCCCUACCCCAACUCUCUUUCCCUAAUCCCCCCACCCCAACUUUCUUUCCCUAACCCCAACCUACCCCCAACUCUCUUGCCCUAACCCCCUCCUCCUACCCCUCCAGUUGUUUCCAGAUCCCCAUUUGUGUGUUUUCAACUGAACCCCUCCUGCUUUAACCACAG
rnacentral:lncRNA from 13 species